UACAGAGGUCUCGAGCGUUAGGCGGAAUCACUGGGCUUAAAGGGCGCGUAGGCGGGUUCUCAAGUCCGGGGUGAAAUCCCACAGCUCAACUGUGGAACUGCCUCGGAUACUGGGUGCCUCGAGGGUGGUAGGGGUAUGCGGAACUAUCGGUGGAGCGGUGAAAUGCGUUGAUAUCGAUAGGAACUCCGGUGGCGAAGGCGGCAUACUGGACCACAUCUGACGCUGAGGCGCGAAAGCCAGGGGAGCGAACGGG
rnacentral:rRNA from 1 species